AACUGAGGGGCUUGUCCACCUGUAACAGCUGGUAACUCACCAGCCCAAAAGGUGUAGGGUUCCUUAAGCCAGGGUCUCACUCAGAUCUUGUAUCUUCACAUCGCCUCUAAGUAGUAACUCUGGUAACUGCUGUUUGUUCAGAAAGUUGGAAAUACAAAACGAAGGAGUCAGCGGGGCUGCAUUCCUUCUGGAGACCUGAGGAGAAUCCUUUUGAUGAAUGCUAGCUAUAUGCAAAAUCUUGGAUUUGCGUAUGACUUCAAGAACAUCUACCAGCACUGUAUGAGAGAGAAAAAGCCAGCCUCCUCCAAUAACUUGGCUUAAACAAGCUAUUUAUUGUACUCAGCAUCUUUCAGCACUAGGAGAGCUAACCAGUAUAGAAGAAGUCUCUGGGAAACUUGACUUUUCCAUAUUCUAUAACUCAAGUAUGUGCUGUCUUCAGAGAUAAGGUCUCACUGGAAAGUUCUGAAGAGUUACUGAGAGAAGUGACAAUGGCUCAUAAUAUUUAGAGGUUUGGGAGGCCUCACUGCUCAGAAGCUCCAAAAGAAGUAACCCAUCCUGGACUGGGGGUUUUAUUUGUAAGGGUUUCCUGUAUUUUAGUGACUAAAAUCUAAGUUGCAUAGCAAAAGCUGAUGUCAUGGGCAGGAAUGACACUUGUUUCACAUGGAAAAGCACUAAAUAUAUUCAACAAUAAUAUAACCUGUCACUCUCUUAUUAUAACACUACCUUUUACAUUAUUCUCUUUGCUAUGUAAAAUAUUCUCUACUCAUAAAACUAAAAAAUGGGAGGGAACAAAUAUCUAAUAAACAUUUGAAGAGUGACAAAUG
ensembl:lincRNA 4930455B14Rik RIKEN cDNA 4930455B14 gene